rnacentral:rRNA from 1 species
AGAGUUUGAUUCUGGCUCAGGAUGAACGCUAGCUACAGGCUAACACAUGCAAGUCGAGGGCAGCAUCAGGUUAGCUUGCUAACCUGGAUGGCGACCGGCGCACGGGUGAGUAACGCGUAUCCAACCUUCCCCCUGCUCAGGGAUAGCCCGGUGAAAACCGGAUUAAGACCUGAUAGUUUCACUAGAUGGCAUCUGACGGUGAAUAAAGGUUUCGGCAAGGGAUGGGGAUGCGUCUGAUUAGCUUGUUGGCGGGGUAACGGCCCACCAAGGCAACGAUCAGUAGGGUUCUGAGAGGAAGGUCCCCCACAUUGGAACUGAGACACGGUCCAAACUCCUACGGGAGGCAGCAGUGAGGAAUAUUGGUCAAUGGGCGGAAGCCUGAACCAGCCAAGUAGCGUGCCAGGAUGACGGCCCUAUGGGUUGUAAACUGCUUUUGUAUGGGAAUAAAGUCAGGGACGCGUCCCUGUUUGCAUGUACCAUAAGAAUAAGGACCGGCUAAUUCCGUGCCAGCCGCCGC